rnacentral:rRNA from 1 species
UGAAUCCAUAGGUUAAUGAGGCGAACCGGGGGAACUGAAACAUCUAAGUACCCCGAGGAAAAGAAAUCAACCGAGAUUCCCCCAGUAGCGGCGAGCGAACGGGGAGGAGCCCAGAGCCUGAAUCAGUGUGUGUGUUAGUGGAAGCGUCUGGAAAGGCGUGCGAUACAGGGUGACAGCCCCGUACACAAAAAUGCACAUAUUGUGAGCUCGAUGAGUAGGGCGGGACACGUGGUAUCCUGUCUGAAUAUGGGGGGACCAUCCUCCAAGGCUAAAUACUCCUGACUGACCGAUAGUGAACCAGUACCGUGAGGGAAAGGCGAAAAGAACCCCGGCGAGGGGAGUGAAAAAGAACCUGAAACCGUGUACGUACAAGCAGUGGGAGCCUCUUAAUGGGGUGACUGCGUACCUUUUGUAUAAUGGGUCAGCGACUUAUAUUCUGUAGCAAGGUUAACCGAAUAGGGGAGCCGAAGGGAAACCGAGUCUUAACUGGGCGUUAAGUUGCAGGGUAUAGACCCGAAACCCGGUGAUCUAGCCAUGGGCAGGUUGAAGGUUGGGUAACACUAACUGGAGGACCGAACCGACUAAUGUUGAAAAAUUAGCGGAUGACUUGUGGCUGGGGGUGAAAGGCCAAUCAAACCGGGAGAUAGCUGGUUCUCCCCGAAAGCUAUUUAGGUAGCGCCUCGUGAAUUCAUCUCCGGGGGUAGAGCACUGUUUCGGCAAGGGGGUCAUCCCGACUUACCAACCCGAUGCAAACUGCGAAUACCGGAGAAUGUUAUCACGGGAGACACACGGCGGGUGCUAACGUCCGUCGUGAAGAGGGAAACAACCCAGACCGCCAGCUAAGGUCCCAAAGUCAUGGUUAAGUGGGAAACGAUGUGGGAAGGCCCAGACAGCCAGGAUGUUGGCUUAGAAGCAGCCAUCAUUUAAAGAAAGCGUAAUAGCUCACUGGUCGAGUCGGCCUGCGCGGAAGAUGUAACGGGGCUAAACCAUGCACCGAAGCUGCGGCAGCGACACUAUGUGUUGUUGGGUAGGGGAGCGUUCUGUAAGCCUGUGAAGGUGGCCUGUGAGGGUUGCUGGAGGUAUCAGAAGUGCGAAUGCUGACAUAAGUAACGAUAAAGCGGGUGAAAAGCCCGCUCGCCGGAAGACCAAGGGUUCCUGUCCAACGUUAAUCGGGGCAGGGUGAGUCGACCCCUAAGGCGAGGCCGAAAGGCGUAGUCGAUGGGAAACAGGUUAAUAUUCCUGUACUUGGUGUUACUGCGAAGGGGGGACGGAGAAGGCUAUGUUGGCCGGGCGACGGUUGUCCCGGUUUAAGCGUGUAGGCUGGUUUUCCAGGCAAAUCCGGAAAACCAAGGCUGAGGCGUGAUGACGAGGCACUACGGUGCUGAAGUGACAAAUGCCCUGCUUCCAGGAAAAGCCUCUAAGCAUCAGGUAACAUCAAAUCGUACCCCAAACCGACACAGGUGGUCAGGUAGAGAAUACCAAGGCGCUUGAGAGAACUCGGGUGAAGGAACUAGGCAAAAUGGUGCCGUAACUUCGGGAGAAGGCACGCUGAUAUGUAGGUGAAGCGACUUGCUCGUGGAGCUGAAAUCAGUCGAAGAUACCAGCUGGCUGCAACUGUUUAUUAAAAACACAGCACUGUGCAAACACGAAAGUGGACGUAUACGGUGUGACGCCUGCCCGGUGCCGGAAGGUUAAUUGAUGGGGUUAGCGGUAACGCGAAGCUCUUGAUCGAAGCCCCGGUAAACGGCGGCCGUAACUAUAACGGUCCUAAGGUAGCGAAAUUCCUUGUCGGGUAAGUUCCGACCUGCACGAAUGGCGUAAUGAUGGCCAGGCUGUCUCCACCCGAGACUCAGUGAAAUUGAACUCGCUGUGAAGAUGCAGUGUACCCGCGGCAAGACGGAAAGACCCCGUGAACCUUUACUAUAGCUUGACACUGAACAUUGAGCCUUGAUGUGUAGGAUAGGUGGGAGGCUUUGAAGUGUGGACGCCAGUCUGCAUGGAGCCGACCUUGAAAUACCACCCUUUAAUGUUUGAUGUUCUAACGUUGGCCCGUAAUCCGGGUUGCGGACAGUGUCUGGUGGGUAGUUUGACUGGGGCGGUCUCCUCCUAAAGAGUAACGGAGGAGCACGAAGGUUGGCUAAUCCUGGUCGGACAUCAGGAGGUUAGUGCAAUGGCAUAAGCCAGCUUGACUGCGAGCGUGACGGCGCGAGCAGGUGCGAAAGCAGGUCAUAGUGAUCCGGUGGUUCUGAAUGGAAGGGCCAUCGCUCAACGGAUAAAAGGUACUCCGGGGAUAACAGGCUGAUACCGCCCAAGAGUUCAUAUCGACGGCGGUGUUUGGCACCUCGAUGUCGGCUCAUCACAUCCUGGGGCUGAAGUAGGUCCCAAGGGUAUGGCUGUUCGCCAUUUAAAGUGGUACGCGAGCUGGGUUUAGAACGUCGUGAGACAGUUCGGUCCCUAUCUGCCGUGGGCGCUGGAGAACUGAGGGGGGCUGCUCCUAGUACGAGAGGACCGGAGUGGACGCAUCACUGGUGUUCGGGUUGUCAUGCCAAUGGCACUGCCCGGUAGCUAAAUGCGGAAGAGAUAAGUGCUGAAAGCAUCUAAGCACGAAACUUGCCCCGAGAUG